GGGGGGCUUUCGUUUCAUUUUGUCUUUGGUUUUCAGAAACCGUCUGUGUGACCGUCCCCGUCGUAAGGGGAAGUUGGGAGCGGAGGGGGAGGUGGUGGUGCUCCAGGAGAAGCGUCGCCCAUGCGUGGAGUGAGACCUUCCCCGAGCAGAUCCCAGGGCAUCUCUGCCCCCAAAGUCACUUUGAUUGGAUUUCGAUGACUUUCUCAUAAAUGGCACCACUUAGGUGCCAGUUGAGGAAACAGACACCACAACGGUUGAUUUGACCUCCAACCAGAAUUUAUGCAGUUAGCACCAGAAGCCUGGCAGAGUUUUGAACCCAGGUUUGGUAUUUGAUGGAGACGUGUCCUUCUUUUCCAGUUUUCAUGACCUUCUUGCAUCUUCAUAUCCUGUAUAAAGUAGUUACUUGCCUAAGAAUUAAGAAGAAGGAGCAUCCACAAUCACAGCAGAUGAAGAUCCACUGGUAAAUUAUCAGGAUUUUUGGCCUGCCCUCUAAGGAAAAGACUAAAGUUGAAACUGUAGAAAGUGUAACUGUGAUUAAAGAGGAGUCUUCUGUAUUAUUCAGCCAUAAAAAGAAGUGAAAGACUGAUAACAUAACUCCAGCAUAGAUAAACCAUGAAAACAUACUAAAUGAAGGAAGCCAGACACAAAAGGCCACAUAUUAUAUGAUUUUGUUUGUAUGAAAUACCUGUAAUAGGUGCAAAUUCAGAGACAGAAAGCAGAUGUGAUUUCCUAGAGAAUAUGAGUUGGGAGAUUGAAGAGUGACUGUUUCACGGAAUGGGGUUCUUUCUGGGGUAGGGAAAAUGUUCUGGAUCUAUAUAAUGGUGUU
rnacentral:lncRNA from 1 species